ACACUCCUACGGGAGGCAGCAGUGGGGAAUUUUGGACAAUGGGCGAAAGCCUGAUCCAGCCAUGCCGCGUGCAGGAUGAAGGCCUUCGGGUUGUAAACUGCUUUUGUACGGAACGAAACGGCCUUUUCUAAUAAAGAGGGCUAAUGACGGUACCGUAAGAAUAAGCACCGGCUAACUACGUGCCAGCAGUCGCGGUAAUACGUAGGGUGCAAGCGUUAAUCGGAAUUACUGGGCGUAAAGCGUGCGCAGGCGGUUAUGUAAGACAGUUGUGAAAUCCCCGGGCUCAACCUGGGAACUGCAUCUGUGACUGCAUAGCUAGAGUACGGUAGAGGGGGAUGGAAUUCCGCGUGUAGCAGUGAAAUGCGUAGAUAUGCGGAGGAACACCGAUGGCGAAGGCAAUCCCCUGGACCUGUACUGACGCUCAUGCACGAAAGCGUGGGGAGCAAACAGGAUUAGAAACCCCUGUAGUCCCAU
rnacentral:rRNA from 1 species